rnacentral:lncRNA from 1 species
UGGACGCCUGCAUGGCUACCUCGAGUCACACUAGGCUGAAAGUCUGCUCCCACGCUACUGCUACUGCUGCUCGAAACUUGGAUCUGUGCAAAAAUAGCAAAAAGUGUAGUAUCUGCACAACCGACCCCAUGUGCUGGUAAGUGUCUAGCCUAACCCCAUCGAAGUAGUGACGAGGCUAGACUGGACUACCACAUAAACCUAUGCAAUUAUAAAUAUGCAGCAAAAUCAAAAUACAAGACAGGUAAACAAUAUGGGAGGGGAAGCAUACUAUGGGAAGAUAACAAUUUCAAGUAAAAUUUGACUAACAUGAAGGAAAAGCAAAACUCAUACAGCAAUAAGGAAAAAAUCAACAAGUGCACGGCAUCACCCUUCGUGCUUUUACUCUCAUCCACACCAAGCAACGGUCUAACAAACGUGCAUGGCAUCAUCAUUCAUGUUUUUACUCUCAUUCCUCACAUAUAUAUAACCAAUGAAUAUCAGUACGGAAUGGUACAUCGUAAGGCACGGCAUCACCCUUCGUUCUUUUACUCUCAUUUCCUCACAUAUGUAUAAUCAAUGAAUAUCAGUAUGGAAUGGCACAUCGUACGGCAGGGCAUCACCCUUCGUGCUUUACACUAUUUCCUCACAAUAUCAAACAAUACACGGCAUCACCCUUCGUGCUUUAACACUCUUCCUCACCCAAUCAAUAAUAACAAACAAGGGCAAGGAAAUAAAUAAAUAAUAAUAGAAAUCCGUGCAAGGGAACACAAACAAGCAAUUAACAACCCGACAAGGGUACAACAUCAAUAAUCUCGACAUCCCGGCAAGGGAAAAUAUUCAAUAAUGAACAAUGCCCCGGUAAGGGGAAAUAUAAUUAACUCUUUCUCUUCCUUCCACUUUCAUCUCAUAGUUCACAUUAUUACUUGAGCCAAGGAUCCAAAGAUUUACUUAUCUCAUAUACCUUCACAAUUUGUAUUUCAACUCGAGCCAAUGCUCCACGAAGUUUAAAGAUCACAAUACCUUUUCACAAGCUCUUUACAACAUAUAGAAGUCAUCAAUCAAGCAUGGAAGGUAUAAUAAAAUCCAAACUAUUCGCAUAAUAAGGAAUCACAGUCAUGCGAGACACUAAUGUAUAGAUACUCAUCACCACGCCUAUACAUCGUACUCGGCAAUUAGCAAGUAACAUAUAAGACUCAACACAUAUUCCCUCAAGCUAGGGUUAAACAAAAUACUUACCUCAACUUCCACGGCCAAAUCAAUCUACAACAACCGCCUUCCCUCUCGAAUUCGGCUCCAACUCAAUCAAAUCUAUACAAUAAUGACUUUAUAAUAUCAGUAUGUGCUAAAUAAAUCAAUCUCAAUGUCUAAUUAUACAUUCCCAAGAGUUCUUUCCAAAAUUCCAAAAAUUGACUCAGGGCUUGCUUAGUCACAACACAAGGUUCGGACCAAAUUCAUAGCACCCAUUCCCCCACGAGCCCGCAUAUAUAAUUUGUUUUGAAAUCGGACUUCAAAUUGAGGUCCAAAUCCGCAAUGUUAGAAAAACCUAGGUUCUACGCAACAAACCCAAAUUUCCCCAAUUAAAAUCUUUGAUUUGAAGUUAAAAUUAUGUUAAAAGAUGUUAAGGAGUAAAGAAAAUAAGUUAGAAAUCACUUACCAAUCGUUUUGAAGAAGAAGAAUCGUUUGGCAAAUCGCUUCUUAUGUUAUAGGUUUUUGAAAAGUGGAAAAUAUCUGAAAUUCCCGUGCAUUUAUACCCUCUGAAGUUCCCAGUGCGGACCGCGCAAAAUGGAAUACGGCCGCGCCGACCUACCUGAAGACCUAUGGGUUCUAGCCCUACACGGAAUGUGCAAAUCCAACCGUGGCCGCACAGCACCCACCUGGACCGUGCAAAAGCGGCCGCGAUUGCUGUGGCCCCUUCGUGGCCGCACGCGAUUUUCUCGCGGACCGCGCUCGGAGGGUUCAGAGUCUGCAACAUUUUCCUGAACCUUCAACAGCUGAUAUUUAAGCCUAAGGCAUCCCGGAACCUACUCGAAACUCACCCGAGUCCUCGAGGCUCCAAACCAAACAUACAUAUCACCUCAAAUCAUCCUAUGAACUUAUCCAUGCGAUCAAAUCGUUAAUAUAACAUCUUAAACAAUGAAUCAAACCUCAAAGUCACUAGUUUUUCUUCAAACUUCAUAAACUUUCAAAGUUGGAGUUUUAUGUCUAAAACAUGUCAAAUGCCGUCCGAUUUCAACAAAAGUUCACAGAAAUAUCUUAAAGCACAUAUAAAACCUGUACCGGGCACCGAAACCAAAAUACGAGCUCGAUACCAACACGUUCUGAUCAAUUUUCAUUUCAAAUUUCCUUAACAAUUUUAGAAAAACAAUUUUUCCAAAAUAUUUAUUUCUCGGGCUCGGGACCUCGAAUUUUGAUUUCGGGCAUAUGCUCGAGUCCCAUAUUUUCCUACGGGCCCUCCGAGUCCGUUUAUCCAAAAUAUUGACCGAACUCAAAUUUAUUCAAUUUAAUAUCAAAAUUUAACAUUUUUCUCACAGAAUUAAUAUUUAAGCUUUCUAGCUAGGUGCCUGGACUGCGCACGAAAAUCGACGCAACCCUAAUUGAGGUUUUCAAGUCCUCAGAAGCAUAAAAUGAGAAAGAAAGCAGGUGAUGACCCCUUUGAGUCGUCACAUUCUUCACCUCUAAAACAACCGUUCGUCCUUGAAUGGACAAAAGAAAGAAGUACCUGAGUAGGGAAAUAGAUGAGGAUAACGGCUCCGCAUAUCAGACUUGGACUCCCAGGCCAAUGCCUCAGGGGCUGACCUCUCCAUUGAACACGAACAGAAGGAAAACUCUUGAAUCUCAACUGACGAACCUGCCAGUCUAGAAUAGCUACCGGCUCCUCCUCAUAAGACAAAUCUUUGUCCAACUGGACAACGCUGAAAUCUAAUACGUGGAUUGGAUCGCCGUGAUACCUCCGAAACAUGGAUACAUGAAAACUAGAUGCAUGGUUAAUAAUCUAGGCGGAAAUGCGAGUCUAUAAGUCACCUCUCCCACUCGAUCAAGAAUCUCAAACGGACCAAUAUACCUAAGGCUAAGCUUGCCCUUCUUCCCAAAUCUCAUCAUGCCCUUCAUAGGCGACACUCGGAGCAAUAUCCGCUCACCAACCAUAAAUGCCACAUCUCGAACCUUGCGGUAACUCUUUUGCCUAGACUAAGCUGAACGAAGCUUAUCCUGAAUGAUCUUGACUUUGUCCAAGGCCUCCUGAACCAAAUCUGUACCCAACAACCGAGCCUCUCCCGGCUCAAACCAUCCAACCGGAGACCGACACCGCCUACCAUAUAAAGCCUCAUAAGAGGCCAUCUGAAUGCUCGACUGGUAGCUGUUAUUGUAGGUGUCACACCUCCUUUUUAUACUACACGCACGGAAUGGGUAUAAAAAAUGGGAGUUUUUCGAAUUAAAGGACAAUCGAAACGGGAUUUAUUAUAUUAAAAAUCAUAGCUACCACUUGGGAUAAUAAAUGGUGUCCUAAGUCACCGGUUUAAAUCCCGAAUCAAGGAAAAGAUUUGAUUCUACAUACAGUUUCCGAAUCAAAAAUCCGGGUAAGGAAUUCUGUUAACUCGAGAGAAGGUGUUAGGUACUCCCGAGUUCCGUGGUUCUAGAACGGUCGCUUUAAUACUUGACUUAUGAAAUUAUUUACUUACUGAUUUUAGAACCUAUGUGUGUUUUCAUCUUUUGACGCUUUAAAAAAAAUAUCUUGAAACGGGUUACGCAUACGUGUACCUAUUUGUUUGGCACAUCAAAAAUCAUGUCACGCGAAUGUGUCCACAAUUAAUAACGCUUUAUUAAGAUUAAGAAAAUUUGGCCGAAGUUGCGCGAACGCAUACUCUGGUUUUGUUUUAAGAAAUCGCAAUCGUGUCACGCGAACGUGUCCACAAUCACAACAAUGUAUUAAAUGUGCCUAAAGCAAACUAUGAAUAUUUGUCAUUUUUAUAUAUAGGGUGUGAAAAUUAUACAAGGUCCAUGUAUGAUUAUAAGCAGAUAAAAUUUUAUUAUUAAGAAAAUUUGUUCCAAGUCGCGCGAAUGCAUACUCCGAUUUAGUUUUUAGAAUCGUAAUUAUGUUACGCGAACGCAUACACAAUCACAAUUGUAUUUUAGACGGCCCUAAAGGCUUUUCUACAAAUGCGGCCUUCUUAAUCAUACCCCUAGCAUCCAUUAUACAAACAAAACACUGGAACUUCAAUUAUCUCAUAUACCUCAGUGACAAAGCCAACAAUCCUUUUAGAAAUUAUAUCUUUUAUUGUAGCCAAAAAUAGAAAAUCAUUUGGUGUAAACUAAGAAAAUGCAGAACAGCAUAUAAGCAGCAUCUCGACAAGGAAACAAUCCCUAUGUUUAAGCAGUUGACAUGUUCGAUUCUAUGGGAUAUGAUGACAGAAAAGGAAGGUCAAAAAUGUGAAUUGGCUACUAAAUAUUACAACCUGUUAUGCAUUCCACAAGUCAUAGAAAAAGAAAGCAGAUUCACAUAAUUUCACACUGCUUUUGUAUAGAUAAAAGGAAAAGACUUCAAUCUUAACACAAGAAGCCGGCAGAGAAUCUUCUAAUUCGAAUAAGCUACAAGAGAGAACGAUAGAGAAUACUAAGCAUUCAUUCAAUUACUUUUCUCAUAAAUCAACUCGUUCAAAUCUGUAUCAAUGUUUUCAGACUCUGUUUUAUGCCUUUCAAAUCUAGAACUAAAGAUCAAGUGAAUCAUGAGGCUGAAAUUCUGAAGACCCUUAAACAAGUGAACAAAGCUGAAUCUCUGAAUCUGUUGGGGUGAGGUACACACAAGAAUGUGAGGACAAACUGCUCAAGGUUGUUCGGCAAAUGGCUGAAGGAAAACUUAACUUGCACAACUAACAGUCAAAGCUAAACAUCAUUCAGAUAUUAAACUAUGCAGCAACCAAACCUAUGAGAGCCAAGAGUGCAAAAUUUGCAUUAAAAAAAACUGUGCAAAUCUACUGCUUAAAUAGUGCUUGACAGGGCAGAUUUUCAGCAGGGAUAGCAGUCUAAACAAAUGUCCAAAGAGGCUAUAGAUGAUCUAUUGUGGAUAACAUAGUAUGAGUGAAUACAAUCUAAACCAAACGGAUGAUUCAAAUAUGAUUCACUUAUUUUAAAAUCAAAUGCAAGACUGAUAUUCAAGUGAAAGAGAAGAAACGGAUGCAGUUUUGCACAUAUAUAUUUCGCAUGACAACUUUGACACAACCUCUUGUUUUAAUCCAAAAUCUAAGGAACAGGAUUAUCAUAAUCACAGCCACCAAAAGCAAACACUCUAACGGAAACUAGCACUUCAAAUUGCUUGAUGCAGCUUACUCAUGUUUUAAAGAAGCAAAAGAAGCAAAGCAGAUGUCUGCACAUUUCUAAAUUUGGGCGGAAACAAAAAAGAGCAGGCUGACUUCAGCGCACAGCUAGACAAGCAUCUUCAAUCCUAGUUUCAGUAGAAUAACAAACGUAGUGGUGCCAAUCCGAGCCAACAGUGCAGCAUAUUGAAGGAAACAUGGGCAUACAGAUAGCUAAUUCAACUUAUUGGGAUUCAUGCGUUCAGAUAGUCAUACAUUUCUAACGUUAAAGGCAUGAAUGAAAGCAAGCAUAACUCGACUGAUUUGCGACUAAUACCCAAACCAGCAUGAAAACUUCACGAACAUAUGAGCCAUUUAAGCUCGGUUGACUAGCAAACAAACCAAUUUUGACAGCCUAUGAUAAAGAAAACAAGCAUAGUUAACCUUCAAACCAUCUGGAAACCAACCCUUAAAUGUUUAUACACAGAAAAGAAAUCGAUUAUCGCCAGGCACUGAAACAAAAGGCAGACGAACUCAUAAUUAUACGUUUUGAUGGAUUCUGGAACUAGAAGACCAUAUAAACAUUAAUAAGCACAUAUACGAAGUCAUAGAAAAAGAAAACUAAAAUCUCAGUUACUACUCCAAACUUCAGUCCUAUUUUAUAGCUCAUUCAGAGAUCAACUUAUAACAGGAACUAAAGCGAAAAAAAGAAAUGAACCUGGAAUCAAGAGAUUGAACUAACACCACACUGAAAUUGAUCAAAGAAAAGCAAACAGUAGCAGAACACAAGCUUUCGAACAACAGCAGCCUCAAAUUUCCCAAAUGACUUCCAUCUUAAAACUAAAAUCCAUAAUUGUAAUGAAGAGAUGAACUCUAGAGGUUUUAAAAAAAACUCUAAACAUUUAUCGUCAAGAAAAUGAAAGAACAACACCACCAGUGAUUUUUGUGUUGUUCCAGUAUCAUAAAUAAAAGAACAAAUAAAGUUGAAAACAAUCUCUCAAGUUCCUUUCCAAAAAAAUCUCUCAGACUCUGAAAAUUUUCUCUGAAAAAUAUCUUCAAAAAAAUCUCUAAAAAUCCGUCCAGAGCACCCCUUUUAUGCCCAAACCUAGAAGCUUCCUCAAAAAUCCGAAAAUAUUCCCCUCUAGAAUGAAUUCGGACAUAUGGAGAGAGGGGAUCGAUCCAAAAUCAAUCCACGGUCCCUAUUUAUAGGAAUUCAUUCUCAAAAAGCACAUGGGAGAAGAAAAAUAUGACAGAGGGCGUUAGAAUCUUGGUGACGAGGAGCGAAGGGGAACGCGUGAGUAAUUUUGAGCUCACUCGUUAGGGAUUUCGGUGUUUGAGAGUGAAUUUGGGUGAGGAAGUAGUGAACAUCGGCGUCUCUAAUCCUAGAAGAUUAGGGCUCUGUGAGUGAAAUUCGCAUGAGUAUAUCUGGGGGCGG